ensembl:lncRNA
GAAGAACGGUGUUUAAAAAGGACUAACGUUACAUCACAGAGUAAAUCAGGGAAAAAUAGAUCAUUCUUGCUGGAGACAAUUUAGAUUAGAUGGUCAUUUUGCACUGGACCUAAUGACCCUUGCACAGAUUUGUUUUACUUGUUCGAAAGCAGGAGACAGAGUCAGCAAAUGUGAUCUUGAAAGAAAGAAAAAAAAAAAAAGGCAAGUUAAUGGUUUUGGCAAGGCGCCUUCAGCAGUGACUCAACGGACACAGUUGACUUUAUUGAAGUGAGAGGAAAUAAGAGAACAGAACAUUAUGUACAACACGUAAAACUAAAUAAAUAACAGCCUGUUACAACGUUAAAGCCUAUAAUAGUGGUAUGUAUACCAAAAUGACAUAUUCCCUCCCUGCAUAUUAAUUAUGUGAACCGUGUGCGGAAAGUAAAAACAGCGGCACAUUGUGCUCAAAACCAAAUUAAAGCUAAAAUAACACACUGAAAGGUAAAUAUUAACUCACAGCACUUGAAGUGCCAAACCUAUGAUAAAUAAUGACAGCUCAACACUUAAACGUAAUAAUAGCACUCUUUACAGAAGUAAAGAAAUUCUUAAUAUGGACAUUUCCAUCCACAGAAGACAACCUGAACAGUGUUAAAGUGCAGAUUUAAAACGUCUCGAAUUGUAUAAAGAAAAAUCUCUCUGGGUUUAUUAAAAUAGCAGUUUUAAUUUAGGCUUGUUUUUAAGAUGUUGAGGUUUCAGAUCAGGAAAUAUUCAGCUAUACUAGAACAAUCAGUUCGACUAGCCUGUACAGCGUAAUCAGUCCCUCAAGGGUUCUGUGAUCGCAGAAACUCUGCAAUAUUCAGAGGAGCUUGCAAUGUUUCAAAAGUACCGCAGAUUUGGGCCAAGAUGCGUCAUCGCAACGCACGGUCAGCCAAAGCCCUCUUCGAUUCAAGUGUGUCGAACACGAGUACAGCUAACAGGUCUUAUUUACCAGACUGUACAGGAUUUUGCAGAGUUUUUUUUUGCGUGAUUGUUGGCUAAAAGUUCUUGAUUUUGCUGCGGCUUUUUCUCUCACAAAAUUUGUGAUGCACAAUUUUUUUUUGGUGCUUUUUUUUUGCAGAAAAUGUCUUGAACUGGCGAAACGGCAUUUUUGUCAGUAAAUGUGACUCAUGUUUGACGCAAGCGAAUUGUAGGGGGUUUUGGGUGACUGCGCACUGUGAUGAAGUCACAUGACAUGUCUCGGCCCAAUUCUGCAGCGAAGUUUGCUUGAUUUUGCGUUGUGUUCUGCCACCUGCAAAACCCCGGAGGGACUGACCAUGCAACUCAAUUCUGUGCAAUUGCCCUGCAGGUUGCGUCGCAGAUGUAAAAAAAAAAAAAAAAGAAAAAAAAAAAAGAAAAGAAAAAAACAGCAGAAAAAUCAAGCAUUUUGGCCACAACAAUCUCACACACACACACACACACACACACGUUGCGAAAUCCUGUACGGAUUGACUAACUAUAAAAGAAAGGAAACGCCCACUACCAUAAUGAGUAUCAGCUCCAUAUGAAAAAAAAUCAAGACCAGAGGCAGGGCUUUUUAUUACAAACCUACGCAGGUCUGUACAGGAAGUAACUGUGGAAUGACUAACGACUCGUUUCAGCUGUUCAGAAUCGCUUCCUUCUUUUGAGAGUCAAUAACUCAGUUUGUCAUGUGCUUUGAUUUUUGAAACUUUGCAGACGUUUUUACGUUCACAAACGGCUCUAUAACACACUACGUGAAAGGUGACAUCUGAAAAAGCAUAAUAAUAGGUGUAUAAUAACUUUAACACGCACACAAGAUAUCGCAGAGCUCCAGGAUUUAUGCAAUGCUACCCUGAGGGUUCCUACAGCACUUCAGGAAAACACCAUGUACAGAUUAAAACGCUGGACAGCGGUGGGCCGUGAUGCAGGAGUUACGACAUGGCGAAGUUAAAGCGCAAAGUCCUUCAUCUUGAAGACUUUCCUGUGGUGGAAAACUCCCUGCCUGAGGAAAAAAAAAAAAAAGCUAGGGCUGACACUAGAGACUCCUUCCAUUAAUGUGAGGUGAAAUAUCUCCUUACAGAAAACAUUAUCAUAUUAUAUCGUUGUCUUUUUUCUUUGUUGUGGUUUGCUUAAAUGUGUUUAAGCUUAGUCUUAGAUUAACGUAUUCGUCCGCCUCUACGCAAGCUGUUGCUAUAGAAACGAUAAGGCGCGCAUUAAUACAGACCUGUGAUUUGAACAACAGCCGGAACUAUUGUCAGAGCUGCUGACAUACACAAUUCAUCAACACCUCCUGACCAAACAGAAUCGAGAACUGAACAGGCAGCAAGCAAAAAAAAAAAAAAAAACCCAUCAGCAAUACUUUAAGCAUCCUGACACAGCAAGAACAAGUGAUGUAAACACCACGGAAAGAACAAAGUGUUCGUUUCGCAGUUUCACUUUAAAACAUACACGACCUUACAGCAUUCACUAUUCCUGCUCCAAACUGCCGACUGGUUCAUGCACUUGUAUAGACGAGUGGACGAGUUGCAAAUCCACAAACCAGGCAUGAAACACUGCACAAAAACAUCCCGCAGUCUUUUCCCUUAUUAUUCGUCUUCUUAUACAUCCCUAACACAGCCAAACACAACCCCCCAAAUAAUGCAGAACAGCACUGCACAAACACACACCCACGCAAAGUUGUUAGGGAUAAUCUGUACUCACAAAGCCGCCUUUUCAAAUUGACACGACUGGAUUCUUGCAUUGCUUUCCGAACUCCAUAUGAGAGCGAGGGAAAGCCAUAAAGUCACCAUGACUAAGCAUUGCGAUCCGGAACGCCAAAAUAAAAGCUGGGCUGUGUCCCAAAUAUCUUCCUCCUUCCCUAUAUAGGCUCGC